UGAGGAAGAAGGUUCCUGCAGCGACACCGAGCAGACCGACAGUCAGACCCACUCCACAGAAGACUGCAGGUCCAAUACUGGGCUGCUGCACCUCCACAUCUGGAGAGAGAGACAGAGGUUAACUCCACAUCUGGAGACACAGAGGUUAACUCCACAUCUGGAGACAGACACAGAGGUUAACUCCACAUCUGGAGACACAGAGGUUAACUCCACAUCUGGAGAGAGAGACACAGAGGUUAACUCCACAUCUGGAGAGAGAGACACAGAGGUUAACUCCACAUCUGGAGACACAGAGGUUAACUCCACAUCUGGAGACAGAGACAAGUUAACUCCACAUCUGGAGACAGACACAGAGGUUAACUCCACAUCUGGAGAGAGACAGAUGUUGUGUCUCACCCCAGAUUCUGGUCAGUGGUUGGUUCAGAGCUGGGUGUCUCACUGUGCAGGUGUAGACGUCUCCCAGCUGUGGGAUGAAAUCCAGUCUGGAGAUCUGGGUGAAGGAACCAUCUUUGUUUGGAAAGGGGACGUUGAUGCUGGUUCCUUCA